AUACGGAGGAUCCGAGCGUUAUCCGGAUUUAUUGGGUUUAAAGGGAGCGUAGGCGGACGCUUAAGUCAGUUGUGAAAGUUUGCGGCUCAACCGUAAAAUUGCAGUUGAUACUGGGUGUCUUGAGUACAGUAGAGGCAGGGGGAAUUCGUGGUGUAGCGGUGAAAUGGUUAGAAAUCACGAAGAACUCCGAUUUCGAAGGCAGCCCGCCGGACUGUAACUGACGCUGAUGCUCGAAAGUGUGGGUAUCAAACAUGAUUAGAUACCCUGGUAGUCCACACAGUAAACGAUGAAUACUCGCUGUUUGCGAUAUACAGUAAGCGGCCAAGCGAAAGCGUUAAGUAUUCCACCUGGGGAGUACGCCGGCAACGGUGAAACUCAAAGGAAUUGACGGGG
rnacentral:rRNA from 1 species